UUCGGGCUUUUCUGGCUCGGGUUCGAAUGGGUUUUUCGUGUGGGGGCCAUUGAAAAGGUUAGAGAGGCUAAGGCAGGAGAAAUUGGGAGGGGAUUGGGAGUCGGUGAAGGAGAAGAGGUUGAUGGGUGGGAAGAGGUUUAUGGAACAGUUUUUGAAGGGGUUGAAGAAAAUGAAGGACUUGGGAGAGACAGAGUAUGAGAGUGGGGGUUUCUGUUUGAAAUUCGGGAAUUAGGGUUAGGGUUGAAGAUCUUCGAAAAGGAGGGGGUUCUGGAAAAGAAAGAGGGACAAAGGUAGGGGACGAGAAAAUGUAGGGGUUGGGGGUGAAUGUUGUUAGGGGUUGCGGGGGAGAAUUGCAGAGGCAAAAAAGGGAGGGGUUUUGGGAUUUUGGGGAUGCAGGUGCUCCAAAGAUAGAGAAGAGAGAAGGUGAGAGAGGGCCCCGUCUUUAGCCACGUCAGCAUUUAACAGAGAAAUUAACAGAAAAACCGACGGAGGUAUGACAUUAGACCAAAUUCGUAAGAUGAGAUAUGACAUUGUCAAUUUUAAAAGAUAAGGUAUGAUAGUGUCGAGAGACCAAUAGUUGAGGUAGUUUUUUGUAAUUUACCCUUUUUUUUACAGUUUUUUUUAUUUUUUUAUUUUACAAAUUUUUUAAAAAAAUUAAAAAUUCUAUAUUUUUUUUCUAUAACUUACUAAGCCAUUAAACAACAUUAACAUUAAGUAACAUGAAACAACAUUAAACAAUAUUAAACAACAUCAAAUAAUAUUAAACAACAUAAAAAUUAUACAACAUAAAAGAAAAACAUUUAACAACAUGAAACUUAAACAAUAUUUUUAAAAACAUUUAACAACAUAAAAUUUAAAUGCCUACUUCAUGCUUCUUUGGGCCCAAAGUUGUUGUAGUUUUUAAAAUUUAAAUAAUAAAUUGUGUUUGACCCUAUGACCCUUUGACUUUCGGUUGGAGAUGAUUUUUUGUGACAAAGCUAUGUUUGGCCCUAUGUCCCUUUGACCUUUGGUUAGAGAUGGUAAGAAAUAUGGUCAUGAAUUGUUCAUUAAAAUAUUAAUUUAUUGGAGGGCCAGAGGGCUACAAUGAACCCUCUAGCCCUCAUUCGGUUGGAGAUGGCCUAAGGUUCAUGGCAACGAAAUCAAGCCCAAGUAAUUCAUCACAACUAAUUGAGCCCAUUAAGUAUUUACGUGAAUAAUGACUAAAAGUGUUGUUUGAUUACCAAAAAUGUUUUUAAGUGCAUCUUAAAAUAAAAUUUAGAAGAGAAAUGCUAAGAUGACUCUCAAAAGUGAGACUCUAUGAACUCUUUGAUACCUCAUAUUUGACACAACGUUUUAUAAUGUUGGCACAAUUUGAGUUAACUGUGAGGUGACAAAAAGUUCAUAGAGAGUCCCAUUUUGAGAGAGUCAUCUUAGGAUUUCUCAUUUUAGAACUGCUUGCACGUGAGUGUUCCAAAUUAAAAAUUCAACGUAUUUAUACUAAAAUCACCCUCUCAUAAUGACGUAUUCGUGUAAGCGUAUUUUAGCGAAGCAAUCUCAAAAGGGCUCUAAACUUUGUAUGAAGUCAAGCCCUUGGAGGCAAUUUGCAAACCACGCCAAAAUCAUGCCAUCUUCGUUGUAAAAAUCAAAAGUAAAUUCCAAACUUUGGUUUCAAGUUUGAAUCAUUUUGUCCUAAGAAAAAUAUAUUUGCCGAUCUUUUAGAAUGAAAAAAGGACCGAUCAAAUUUCAUUCCUAGAUUUUUAAGGUACCCUUCUAUUUUCUAAAGUUUUAAUUUGUUAUAAACCUUUUUAUUAUGUUAAAAUGUGAUUAUUUCGGCAUAUGACAAAUUGAGGGUUACUACUGUUACGUCUAAUCUUCCAUUACAUGUGGGAUCUACUUUUAGGUUGACAUCUAAGCUGCACUUGCACUCAUUAAAUCAAACUAUUCAAUUGGUUGUUGUUUUGGGACAUAAUGCAUCGAUUUAGGAUAGUCAAAAAAUAAUGAUAAGUUUUUUUUGUCCACAUGGUGCAAAUGUGGUUACGUGUUAGCUCAAAAACAUGUCAUAGAAUUGCAACGUCGUCAUUUUAAUAAAGAAUCAGACGAUUAAACAAUUGAAGGUACGAAUUGGUACGAUAUAAAAAAUAUGAAAAUUUGAGAUUAUGUGAUCUCAUUUUGAAAAUAAUUGCAAAGCCAAAAAUUGUAAAACCCAAACUAUUUAGUAAAUGUGAAAACAUAAACGGCCACUUCAUUCGAAGGGCCUAAUUCAAACCAAAGACCCUAACCUUAACCAACCAAACCCAGCAACCAAUAAAAUUGAUUCCCAUUCUGCCAUGCCCAAACCCACCUCCCCUGAGGAAUUGAAUUCCUCCAAAAGUAGGAAACCGAUUCCUCAUUUUACCUGGGGCCCGCAUCACUGUUCAUUCCUGUUGGGAUGAUAAACGAAGGGUUGAUCCGGAAUUGGAAUCAUUCCCACUCAACUCAUUCUGAUUCCGUGUACGUAAACACGCGCCUAAGGUAAUCCAUCCUUCUAAGCUUUCAAUCUUCGCCUAUAACUCUAAAGGGUUUUUAUCACAAAUGGUCCCUGAGAUUGACCAAACUCAUCAUUUUGGUCCAUCACUUUCAAAAUCAAUCAAUGUAGUCCCUGACAUUCACUACUGCACAUCAAUUUGGUCAUUCCAUUAAGAUUCCGUUAACUAUUCUAUUAGUUUGUAUGUGGGACCCAUAAAUCCAAUGAAAUGGUGACACGUGGAUUUACACAAAAUAAGAAUUUUUAUCGCAAAUGGUCCUUGAAAUUGAUCAAACUCCUCAUUUUGGUCCCUGAGUUUCAAAAAUUGAUAAAUUUGGUCCACGACUUUCAAUACCGCAAUUCAAUUUAAUCCUUUUGUUAUAGUUUCGUUAGUAUUUUUGUCCCACUAAUCCAAGCAUAUGGUGCCACGUGGAUUAGCUACAAGAAACUUUUUUUUUUUUAAGAUUUAAAACUAAAUGACACGCUCCAACCCCGAUAUCCCCAACUAUCAGGGUAAGCACGUGCUGGUCGACACCCCAGGGUGACGAAACCAUUUUAAACAUGCAUGCAAAUUAAAAUAUGUGAUUGGGAAGAAAUCUACUAAUGUAUGAAUGUGUUCAGAGCAUACGACUAUAAAAAAUAAUGUGAAAGAAUAACCCAAGGAAUGGGUCCUACCCUGAAAAGACUUGAAGAUCCCUACGCGGACAUGCCCUGAUGCCAGGAUUGUGUGCCUCGAUCCUAACUCCUGAGGGGGAGCAAACCAGAAAAUGUGAGUGGACCAAAGUUUAUAAUACUACUAAUAAUAGGAAAACAAUUUUAUUUCUAAACUUACUAACCCCCUGUUUUGAAAACCAGUAUAAUACUACAUAUAGGUUUUCUCGAAAACUCUACAUGCUAUGCAAACGUUCAUAAAAUCAAUACAUAUAAAACGUGCUCAGAAAUGAAUAUCAUCGCCUGAAGGUAAAUCUGUAAAAUACAUCAUAUUGUACUGUCUAAGGGUAUCAUAGUCGCCCAAAGGAAUUACAUGUUCAUCACUCGAAGGUGAAGCUAUACGACUCCAGGUUAUGCCAGAGAAGAUGAUAUAUAACAUCACACACCGACACUAGCCCCGGGCUAGUGAAGCUAAGGGGUAUAUCAUCAAUAUCAUCAACUACUUAUUCCCCCAAAAGCAAUACAUGUUCAUCACCCGAAGGUGAAGAUGUGAAAUUGUACGACAUUAUGUUAUGUCGGUGAAGAAACCAUGGUCCAUCACCCGAAGUUGAAGUUGUACGACUUCGAGUUACGUCGGAGCAGAGGUAUAUACAUAAAUCUCCUCAACGAUGUCCUAUGCCCAUAGACAUCUACAUACAUGUGUUGUGUGGAUGUGCUAUAUGAUAACCCACUAGAUACAUACCGAAAACAUACCUCAAAAUCUCAUCUCGUAAAUCCAUAUUCAUAAAUCCGUAAUAUAAAUCAUAUUCGAAAGCCAUAGAAUCUCAUAUACGAAAAUCCAAAAAUUCAUAACUUAUAUUAAGAAAUCCGCAAUAUAAAUCAUAUUCAUAAAUUCAUAAUAUUUCAAUUCCGUAAAUCCAUAUAAUGCAUAUAUGAAAAAACCAAUAAUUCAUAAAGGUUUCGUAAAAGCAAUAUAAAUAAAUAAAUCUAAUUCAAAUAAAUCGUAAUAUAGAAAUGCGUAAAAACAUAAUAGAAACCAUGCUCGAUUCAUGAAAUAUGAAAGGCAUGCAAGCCUAGGAGUUUAUAAAAAUAUGCAAUUUAAGAAGGGGUCCACUCACAAGUUUUCCCAUUGCCCAGAAGCCUCUCAAACUAGUGAGGAUGGUGUUGCUUCCCAUUAAUGCACCUGGGCCGAAGUCCAAUUCGGCCGGAAAACACCUCACAUCACCCUCGAUCCGCUGGAAACCCAAAAAUGGGCAAACCACCAUUCGUCCACUCCAGUGUUCCACCGCCCCCAAACUUGUUUGGGGUUUGCUCUUGGGCUCAAGAGGUGCCUAAUGGUGGUGAUAAUUGGAGGAGAACGUUUUAGAAUUGGUGGAUCACCGGCUAAGGUUUCACAACACUGACAUGGGUGUUCUUUGUGGAACCAUGACGAAAUCUCGUCGAUUUUGGCUAUAAUUGGAUG
rnacentral:lncRNA from 1 species